ACACAUGCAAGUCGAGGGGCAGCAUGGUCUUAGCUUGCUAAGGCCGAUGGCGACCGGCGCACGGGUGAGUAACACGUAUCCAACCUGCCGUCUACUCUUGGACAGCCUUCUGAAAGGAAGAUUAAUACAAGAUGGCAUCAUGAGUCCGCAUGUUCACAUGAUUAAAGGUAUUCCGGUAGACGAUGGGGAUGCGUUCCAUUAGAUAGUAGGCGGGGUAACGGCCCACCUAGUCUUCGAUGGAUAGGGGUUCUGAGAGGAAGGUCCCCCACAUUGGAACUGAGACACGGUCCAAACUCCUACGGGAGGCAGCAGUGAGGAAUAUUGGUCAAUGGGCGAGAGCCUGAACCAGCCAAGUAGCGUGAAGGAUGACUGCCCUAUGGGUUGUAAACUUCUUUUAUAAAGGAAUAAAGUCGGGUAUGCAUACCCGUUUGCAUGUACUUUAUGAAUAAGGAUCGGCUAACUCCGUGCCAGCAGCCGCGGUAAUACGGAGGAUCCGAGCGUUAUCCGGAUUUAUUGGGUUUAAAGGGAGCGUAGAUGGAUGUUUAAGUCAGUUGUGAAAGUUUGCGGCCCAACCGUAAAAUUGCAGUUGAUACUGGAUAUCUUGAGUGCAGUUGAGGCAGGCGGAAUUCGUGGUGUAGCGGUGAAAUGCUUAGAUAUCACGAAGAACUCCGAUUGCGAAGGCAGCCUGCUAAGCUGCAACUGACAUUGAGGCUCGAAAGUGUGGGUAUCAAACAGGAUUAGAUACCCUGGUAGUCCACACGGUAAACGAUGAAUACUCGCUGUUUGCGAUAUACAGCAAGCGGCCAAGCGAAAGCGUUAAGUAUUCCACCUGGGGAGUACGCCGGCAACGGUGAAACUCAAAGGAAUUGACGGGGGCCCGCACAAGCGGAGGAACAUGUGGUUUAAUUCGAUGAUACGCGAGGAACCUUACCCGGGCUUAAAUUGCAGAUGAAUUACGGUGAAAGCCGUAAGCCGCAAGGCAUCUGUGAAGGUGCUGCAUGGUUGUCGUCAGCUCGUGCCGUGAGGUGUCGGCUUAAGUGCCAUAACGAGCGCAACCCUUGUUGUCAGUUACUAACAGGUUCCGCUGAGGACUCUGACAAGACUGCCAUCGUAAGAUGUGAGGAAGGUGGGGAUGACGUCAAAUCAGCACGGCCCUUACGUCCGGGGCUACACACGUGUUACAAUGGGGGGUACAGAGGGCCGCUACCACGCGAGUGGAUGCCAAUCCCAAAAACCUCUCUCAGUUCGGACUGGAGUCUGCAACCCGACUCCACGAAGCUGGAUUCGCUAGUAAUCGCGCAUCAGCCACGGCGCGGUGAAUACGUUCCCGGGCCUUGUACACACCGCCCGUCAAGCCAUGGGAGCCGGGGGUACCUGAAGUGCGUAACCACGAGGAGCGCCCUAGGGUAAAACUGGUGACUGGGGCUAAGUC
rnacentral:rRNA from 1 species